rnacentral:tRNA from 1 species
GCCUCUGUAGCUCAGUUGGUUAGAGCGCUGCACCGGAAUCGCAGGGCGUAGGUUCAAUUCCUACCAGAGGAC